UGGUUAUAUCUUCAUCCUCGUCUCUUCACCUCCUCCACGACAGUUGUGUCAUCACACACACCAAAAAUGUCCAACUUCAGUAGGCUUCAGAUUGGAUACGGGUAAAAAAUCACCUCAAAGGCUCAAGUAAUACGUUUGUCACUGUGGUUAACAGAAGGCCUCUGAAUGAAAUUAGCGCAUGGUUUACGGAGUCAGCGGUCUUGCCGUCUCCGCUCUGGUGUGACGGCCUGGGGAACCGCCAACGUGGAUCUGUCCUCCUUUAAUUCACACUCAUCUCCCCUGCCUCACGGGUGUGAAAUUAUAAGCUCCGAGGACUCCCUCAUUCACAUUUUACAAGAGUCCAGGUUAUUAGCCAAACAAGGCGUGCAUACACUUUCCCGGAGCCACAGUUUUCACAGUCGAGGAUUUGGACCUUUAUUCUCGAUCACCCCCUGUUUUUUCACCUCUCUACCCUCCUCAUUUAUGUCCGUCUCUCUCGAAGAGCUCACGGACGAGGUGUUACAACAGCCUGAUGUGAAAUAGGGUUUGACUUGAGUGAAAAAUCAUGCCCCCCUCUCUUCUCUUUCUGUCCGUCCUCACUGCUGCUCUCUCCUGCCUUGCACCUUUCAUAUGCACUUUCAUUCAGAUCUCUCUCUUUUUUCCAGAACAAGGCAAAAUGGUUUUUGCCACGUCCAUUUGUUCUCGAAAGAGGAGACAAAUUACAAAUGUGCUCACGAGCCUUUGUACUUGAAAUGCCUUUUUCAUAAGCGGAGAGGAAACUGAUGAAAAGCAUCGAGCACAUCAAAGUGGUUUGACGGCGGGGCCGAUUGAAAGGUUUAGAAAGUUUCGCCCUAUCGCAGGUCGCCCCACUCUUUCUAGUCCGAUUUUAGUUACGGGCUCAUUUAAAUUAAGCUCGCCCGUCAAUUAGCAUGACUUUUACCCCAGCUCGCUGGACUUCAAGGGCGCACAACUUUCCUAGCGCCGCGUGUUGUGUGAAAGCCUGGCAUGCUGUUUCCUUCCUUUU